ensembl:lncRNA
GGCAACAGAAUAAGGAUUUUAAGCAUUCAGUGCAUGUCCACUUUUUUGUAUAUCUUUUUUACUCUCAGUAUUUCCUGUGUAUUGUGUGUGUGUGUGUAUGUGUGUCUGUGAGAGUUCAGUAUUCAGAGAACUUCCUGGUCUAGCUGCAUGCUCCAGUGAAGCACACACUCGUUCUCACUGACUGCGCAGACACCUGCAGCACUGACAGACAGGCGAGAGACGAGAGGAGGGUCACUCUCAGGAGAGGCUCAUUAACUCUCUCUCUCUUCCUCUCUGUAUAGUUUUUCCUCCCUCUUACUGUUGCCCUAAUCUCCCCUCUUCUCUUUUACCCUCCCAUAUUCCUCUGUGACAGGUGGGUCUGGCAUCCCUUAUAACACAGCACUAAAUAUGUGUCAGUAACAGUAUCCCACUCAGUCAUUAAGGGUGCGCUGGCGGCACCGGAGCGCAUGAUCCACAUCACACACAGCCUCUUAUCCCACACAGUAAACAGUGAGGUCUAUGUGGGGCCCCUGGGGAGAGAUGGGAAACGAACAGGGGCCAUGAGAACUGCCCUCAGCAUGAAAGCAGGGGCACUGCCCCGUAACAAGGGCACAGGGUGGAGUAUGCAAUUAAAGGCUCUAAACACGUCCACCACUGCUUUUCUCUCUCUGAGGUCCACCGCCGUCCCCCAAGGGCAGGAGAGACCAACCGCCACUCUUGCUCACAGAUGCCGCCAUCCCUCCCUACAACAAGACCAGUGAGGGACCCCAGCACGGCCUGUAGGUCAGUGGGGGUCAACGCGAGAGAUAUUCUCUCAAAGAAUGGCUUGAAUCAUGAAGGGAUGUCUUUCAUCCUCUGAUUUCUUAGCUUUUUCUUUUCAAUGGUCAUUCUAGAUGUUUAGUGCAUUGUGAUAUUAUAGUGGGACAGACUGUGGGAGAAUGAACACAACAGAGACCAUUCAUGAGAUCCCAUGUGAAGCUAACUCAGGUCUGAUCAGAGCUAAACAGGAAAAUUUCAAGACUUUAUUCAGUCUGUCCCAGGACUUGCAUUAUAGUUUUAUUUAGUAAAAUUGACCUUUUUAAGCAUUUUUAUCAUUUGAUUUUUUUUUUCAUUGCAAAAUAUAAUAUCAGCAUAAAUAUUUGAAUGAAAUGUUCAGUUUGCAUGUUCAAGGUGCAAUGCUUCUUAAAAAAUAAAAUACAACAUAAUACAACA